GAAACAAAGCAACAGAAUCAAAGCAAGACUACAGGUAUGUUUUUGAUGAGGGAAUAACCUUAUAAUAUGAUGUGAAACUCAAAAAAGGUUGACUUUACAUGAUACUGUCCCUUUAAAUGAUCAAUAUCUGUCAAUUGUUUCAUCUCUUUAGUCUUUCCUUUCCAUUUCAAAUCAAACGGCCACUAUACUGAUGUUUCAUUUGGAACUUGACCUAAAUACAACUAGCUGAGUUGUGCUGUACUGUGGUUGUGUUGAAGGUGUGUUAGAGUCGGC